rnacentral:rRNA from 1 species
GACGAACGCUGGCGGCGUGCCUAAUACAUGCAAGUAGGACGCACAGUCUAUACCGUAGCUUGCUACACCAUAGGCUGUGAGUUGCGAACGGGUGAGUAACGCGUAGGUAACCUGCCUAUUAGAGGGGGAUAACUAUUGGAAACGCUAGCUAAUACCGCAUAACAGUAUGUAACACAUGUUAGAUGCUUGAAAGAUGCAAUUGCAUCGCUAGUAGAUGGACCUGCGUUGUAUUAGCUAGUAGGUAGGGUAAUGGCCUACCUAGGCGACGAUACAUAGCCGACCUGAGUGGGUGGUUGGCCGGACUGGGACUGAGACACGGCCCAGACUCCUACGGGAGGCAGCCGUAGGGAAACUGCGGCAAUGGGGGGAACACUGACCGAGCAACGCCGCGUGAGUGAAGAAGAUUUUCGGAUCGGAAAGCUCUGUUGUUAAGGAAGAACGAGUGUGAGAAUGGAAAGUACAGACUGUGACGGUACUUAACCAGAAAGGGACGGCUAACUACGUG